rnacentral:rRNA from 1 species
UACGUAGGGGGCAAGCGUUGUCCGGAUUUAUUGGGCGUAAAGAGCGUGUAGGCGGCUAGGUAGGUCCGUUGUGAAAACUCGAGGCUUAACCUCGAGACGUCGAUGGAAACCAUCUAGCUAGAGUCCGGAAGAGGAGAGUGGAAUUCCUGGUGUAGCGGUGAAAUGCGCAGAUAUCAGGAAGAACACCGACGGCGAAGGCAGCUCGCUGGGACGGUACUGACGCUGAGGCGCGAAAGCGUGGGGAGCGAACAGG